CUUGCAUCACCUGGCAAUUGCAAUGGCCCUGAAAUCUCUAUAGCCCUCUGAGACAGCCUUUGAGAUGGCAGUCUUUUCGGCACAAAUGCCUAGGGUGUAACAUGCAUUCUCCACGUUGCAGCCUGGAUGAAAAUCAGAAUUUCCAUAUUAUGUUUUCACAAGGGCCCUGUAGCCAAAGUAGUAGUAGUAGAAGUAAGCCAAAUAUUCACCAUCUCACCUGUAAAGAUCUUUCCACUUGGAGUUAAAACUGCUGCUCCCACUCUGAACUUGCUGUAUGGACAGUUUUCCAUAUCAACACUCUGUGACGUCCUGUGGUAGAAUACAACUAUGCAUCACAAACUUGUGUGAAAGAGACAACCCUCUGUCUGCCCGGGCUGAGGGUUCAUGGGUCAGCCCCAACAUCAACAUUUGAAUAGAGGGCGGACCUAGUUGCAAAUGAGUAAUUGGGCAGGGAUGCAUGUGAGAAAUACUCACGCAUAGCACAUAGUUUUGCAAUAUUAAACCAAUGUGAAAAACAGACUUAAAA